rnacentral:tRNA from 1 species
UCUAAUAUGGCAGAUUAGUGCGUUGAAUUUAAGCUUCAUUUAUAAAGAUUUCUUUUGUUAGAA